UACGGAGGGUGCGAGCGUUGUUCGGAAUUAUUGGGCGUAAAGAGCACGUAGGCGGCCUUGCGAGUCAGUUGUGAAAGCCUUCCGCUCAACGGAAGAAUGCCAUCUGAUACUACAGGGCUUGAGUACGGGAGGGGAGAGUGGAACUUCUGGUGGAGCGGUGAAAUGCGUAGAUAUCAGAAGGAACGCCGGCGGCGAAAGCGACUCUCUGGCCCGAAACUGACGCUGAGUGUGCGAAAGCUAGGGGAGCAAACGGG
rnacentral:rRNA from 1 species